CAAUAGAGCCAAAGAACCACAGACAGGAAGGCACCCUCUGAAACUAUGAGAGAGACAGAGUCUUUUUUCCUAAGUUUGUUUCUGUUGGGUGUUUAUCACAGCGAAGGAAACAUGAAUGCAAAGGGAAGCAGAAUUCAGGACUCAACUUCCCACAUCCGUUAUCUGUACAGCUCCACUCGACUGAACAGUGGUAACUUCUCACUGGACCCAGAACCUCUGAAGAACAGAAGGUUAACGAUUACGUAAUUCAAUGAAACAGCCCAAAUGUGUUGGGGAUAAAGUCUUUUCAAAUAUAUGGGAUAUUGUUAGGAAAUGCUCUCUUGUUUGUAAACUGAAGCAAUUGCUCAACUUUGAAUUCUCUCAACGGAGCCUGUGAAAGAAAGGCAGCCAGUGGUUUGGAGAAAACCCAGUAAAAUCCAGUUCAGGGCGUGAAAAACAACCCAUCAAUCCACGUGGAAACCUCGUUGGCGUGGUAAGCAGAACGGUGUCAAGAGGCUGCCGGGGCUCAGCAGGCCGCGACGAGCUGCUCUGGAGAAGCAGCCCUCCUUUCUGCAAGGCUGCAGUAGCAUUUCAGAGCAAACAUCACUGCCAGGCACGGGGCCUGCCAUUUCUACUUUCCAAGGGACCCUUUACAUACACAGUCCCAGACGACAGCAGCCUUCUUUGUAGCAGUCACGGGAGAGACUCAGAGCUUCAGUGAGGAAUGCUAAAGAUUGAACUCAACUUUAUAUAUACUAGGUGCAUGGUUGCUGGCUCAGUGGCUGAAAGUGCUAAGCCAGGCUGGUGACCCGAAUCCCAUCCUUGGGACACACAGGUGGAGGGAACGGACUCUGCAAAGUGGGCUCCUGGCCGCCACCCCUCUUCGUCAUGAACUGUACAUGCCCAUGCACAUAA